GGGCGGUUAGCUCAGUUGGUAGAGCGGAUGCCUUACAAGCAUUAGGUCGGGAGUUCGACCCUCUCACCGCCCACCA
rnacentral:tRNA from 2 species